CCUACGGGAGGCAGCAGUGGGGAAUAUUGCACAAUGGGGGAAACCCUGAUGCAGCGACGCCGCGUGAGCGAUGAAGUAUUUCGGUAUGUAAAGCUCUAUCAGCAGGGAAGAAAAUGACGGUACCUGACUAAUAAGCCCCGGCUAACUACGUGCCAGCAGCCGCGGUAAUACGUAGGGGGCAAGCGUUAUCCGGAUUGACUGGGUGUAAAGGGAGCGUAGGCGGCGGUGCAAGCCAGAUGUGAAAGCCCGGGGCUCAACCCCAGGACUGCAUUUGGAACUGUGCUGCUAGAGUGUCGGAGAGGCAGGCGGAAUUCCUGGUGUAGCGGUGAAAUGCGUAGAGAUUAGGAGGAACACUAGUUGCGAAGGCGGCCUGCUGGACGAUGACUGACGUUGAGGCGCGAAAGCGUGGGGAGCAAACAGGAUUAGAUACCCGAGUAGUC
rnacentral:rRNA from 1 species